GCCAAUGUAGAAAUUACAGAGAUCAGAAAAUGAGGGCUUGGGCAAAUUGUUCGAUUCAAUUUCCUCGAAUCGGUGGUCCUAGAUCUGACGGCGGCUGCGAUCGACUCGGUACUGGGCGCCGGCGAUCGUCACUGAGCUCGGCGCCUGCGAUCGACUAUGUAGUCGGCACCGGCGAUCGACUCGGUACUCGGCACCGACGAUCGAUUCGGAGCUCGGCGCCGGCGGUUGUUUCAGUGGUUCGGUCCGUCGGUUAAGUUGGUGGUUGAAUUCGUCGAUGGCGGUCGAUUCGGAAACUCUAGGGUUCUCGAAGAUGGACCAGAAAGCUCGUUGGAUUUUUGGAAUGUGGCCCAGUUGACCUGCUACAGCAAAUAGUGGUUUGUAUAUUUGUGGGAGUUGCCGAGGUCUACUGCUACACAGCAAUAUUGGAUAUCUGCUUAAACAAGUGGCAAGAUUUGUUUGCAUUGGGACAAUGGCAAGAUUUCAGGCUUACCAUAAUCUGAUGGCGUUUCGAAGGUGCAGUCGAAUCGGUACUUGGCAGUUGUUUCUGUGGUUCAGUCCAACAGAUAAGUUGGUGGUUCAAUCCGUCCAUGAUGGUCGACCUUGAUAUUCUAUGGUUCUCGAAGAUGGAGCAGUGUCAAAAAUAUAUAUCAGUGGAGCACCCAUGCUAAGACAUGGUGUGAGGUCAGAAAAUGAAGAUGAAGAUCCGAGGUAAGGGGUGAGGUCUGAAAGUGAGGGAAAAACCUACAACCACUGAAACAGGGAAGACUGUUAGGUAAAUUUUUAAGGUGACUAUCACUACAAUUUUUACUCAAAUACCUGAAAAUCUGAGCUGGGGCAUAGGCAUGUGUUGCACCCCUAACUGCAGUAUGCAAAGUAGCAUAUAUUGAAACAAUUUUUUUGUUGUCAGAAUAUAUAUAUAUAUAUAUAUAUAUAUAUAUAUAUCUAUACUAUUAUUAAGAGAAGAGAGCUUGCUCUCCAAAACUAAUUUUUUUUUUUACUAAUUUAACCUUUAUAUAUUAAAAUAUUAUGAAAUAUAAUUAAUCAAUAGGGAUAAUAUAGUAAAUUGUAAAAUAAAAGAAUAAAAGAAUAAAAAAAUUAUAAAAAAAAAACAGAAAAUAUGGUAGUUGUACGAAAAUUUUUCCCACUACCUUUAACUUCUCUCCACACACAUAAUGGGUGGGCCCUGCUAGUAUGUAUGUAUACACACACACACACACAUACAUAAGAGAGAGAGUUAUUACUUUUAGUCUUAGCAACAUACUUUUCUAUCUGUUUAACUUGGUAGAUUGUGAUCUCUUUUGACUGUACCACUCACUUUGAAUGAAACUAGAAACCGGGUAGGAUAAAUGGUCUUUGUUGAUUAAGUUGGUAGUUUGAUGCAUUUUCUUCACCUGGUUGGUCCCAAGACUAUUAUUCGAAGGUCACUUUGAAUGAAACUAGAAACCAGUAGGAUAAAUGGAUUUUCUUUGUUGAUCAAGUUGGCAGUUUGAUGCAUUUUCUUCACUUUGUUGGUCCCAAGACUAAUAUUUCAAGGCUUUUGUGUGUUCUUCGUUCCUUGUAUGCAUAAGGUCUAUACGUAGAAAUUAGACGUUUCAAAAGGAAAUUCCUGACAAAGGAUUCUUCACUAACCCAUUAUUGUAUAGAAAAACAAAUAAACUGACAUGAUUUUUAUUAGUUUAUGAUCAAUCAAUUGGAUCUGACUUGUCUUAUCUGUUCUGCAUCAACUUUCCAUCAACACAGUUUGAUAUCCAAGAUUUGCUGUUUUCCUAUAGACUGCAGUGUUUUCUAAGACUAUUCAUUUCUGGAUAUGGCUGGGUAAUGAUUAUUAUAAAUGUUUGAGACUGCCUGACUACCCUUUACUUGUUGAUCUUUUUCCUAGGAUACCAUUACUUUGCUGUGCAGCUGUGGGGUUUCUACUUUCUCGUUCAAAAAAUGCACUUGUUGAGCUAAAGUUCUAUAUUAUUCCUCUUAUGCUAUGACCAUGACAUCCAGUUACUUAUGAUCAAAAAGCCUGUUGGAUAUUUGACAUGUGGCUCAGUUGACGAGCCAUAGUGGUAGUUUGGUUUAUAUACUUGGGUAGUCUCCAGAGGUCUACUGCUCCACAUCAAGAUUGGACAUCUGCUUAACUGAGGUGUUCUGAAAUGUCACCCAAGCCAGACCAAGCAGAUUUGCUUGCAUUGGGACAGUGGUAAGAUUUCAGGUAUUGUCUAUUCUUAUUGUUUGGAUCGGAUCUUUAAUUGUGUUUUUGUCUGUAUAUUCUAUUUCUGGGAAACUUUAUAGUUAUUGUUUUUUCUAUGUCUCUUGUGCUUAUAGUUAUUUCCUAAUGCGCUUAUCUUAAAAGUUAUUCAGUAUUUGAAACUUGGUCAAGUCUUGGUAAAAACUAUGAAAGGAAAUUCAUAUGAAUUGUUCAGAACUGGCAUUUCAAAUUUUUGGAUGCUGCAGAUCAACUAGUCUAGUUGGAUGUUGAAGAUGAUCAGGGUGAGGACGAAGGGUGAAAAACAGUAGAGGGGACCUUCAAGAGGGUGAGGAAAAUGGCAAAACAAUGGGACCUUCGGACUUGUAUGCAGUGCUGCACCCUGCUAGUCAAUGGUUUUGGGGGGAAUUUUUAUAUAUAUUUUUUCACUUUAUCAACUGUUUUUAGAUAUGUCAUUGUAAACCAGCAAAUCUGCAAAAUCAUAACAAAAAAGAGUGAGAAAUGAAAUCAAAAAAAUAUGAGGUACAAAGGAAAAA